rnacentral:rRNA from 1 species
AGUCGAACGGCAGCACGGACUUCGGUCUGGUGGCGAGUGGCAAGAACAGGUGAGUAAUGUAUCGGAACGUGCCUAGUAGCGGGGGAUAACUACGCGAAAGCGUAGCUAAUACCGCAUACGCCCUUCGAGGGAAAGCGGGGGACCUUCGGGCCUCGCACUAUUAGAGCGGCCGAUAUCGGAUUAGCUAGUUGGUGGGGUAACGGCUCACCAAGGCGACGAUCCGUAGCUGGUUUAGAGAGGACGACCAGCCACACUGGGACUGAGACACGGCCCAGACUCCUACGGGAGGCAGCAGUGGGGAAUUUUGGACAAUGGGGAAACCCUGAUCCAUGCAUCGCGAGUAUUGCGUUAGAAGACCCUUCAGGUUUGUAAAACACUUUUGGCAGGAAAGAAACGGCACGGGAUAAUACCCGUGCAACUGACGGUACCUGCAGAAUAAGCACCGGCUAACUACGUGCCAGCAGCCGCUGAUAAUACGUAGGGUGCAAGCGUUAAUCGGAAUUACUGGGCGUAAAGCGUGCGCAGGUGGUUCGGAAAGAAAGAUGUGAAAUCCAGAGCUUAACUUUGGAACUACGUACUAACUACCGAGCUAGAGUGUGUCAGAGGGAGGUGGAAUUCCGCGUGUAGCAGUGAAAUGCGUAGAUAUGCGGAGGAACACCGAUGGCGAGGCAACCUCCUGGGAUAACACUGACGCUCAUGCACGAAAGCGUGGGAGCAAACAGGAUUAGAUACCCUGGUAGUCCACGCCCUAAACGAUGUCAACUAGCUGUUGGGGCCUUCGGGCCUUGGUAGCGCAGCUAACGCGUAGAAGUUGACCGCCUGGGGAUACGGUCGCAAGAUUAAAACUCAAAGGAAUUGACGGGGACCCGCACAAGCGGUGGAUGAUGUGGAUUAAUUCGAUGCAACGCGAAAAACCUUACCUACCCUUGACAUGUCUGGAAUCCCGAAGAGAUUUGGGAGUGCUCGCAAGAGAACCGGAACACAGGUGCUGCAUGGCUGUCGUCAGCUCGUGUCGUGAGAUGUUGGGUUAAGUCCCGCAACGAGCGCAACCCUUGUCAUUAGUUGCUACGAAGGGCACUCUAAUGAGACUGCCAGUGACAAACCGGAGGAAGGUGGGGAUGACGUCAAGUCCUCAUGGCCCUUAUGGGUAGGGCUUCACACGUCAUACAAUGGUCGGGACAGAGGGUCGCCAACCCGCGAGGGGGAGCCAAUCCCAGAAACCCGAUCGUAGUCCGGAUCAUGAUCUGCAACUCGACUGCGUGAAGUCAGAAUCGCUAGUAAUCGCGGAUCAGCAUGUCGCGGUGAAUACGUUCCCGGGUCUUGUACACACCGCCCGUCACACCAUGGGAGUGGGUUUCCCGAAGUAGUUAGCCUAACCGUAAGGAGGGCGAUUACCACGGUAGGAUUCAUGACUGGGGUGAAGUCGUAACAAGGUAA